rnacentral:rRNA from 1 species
GACGAACGCUGGCGGCGUGCUUAACACAUGCCAGUCGAACGGAAAGGCCCUGCUUUUGUGGGGUGCUCGAGUGGCGAACGGGUGAGUAACACGUGAGUAACCUGCCCUUGACUUUGGGAUAACUUCAGGAAACUGGGGCUAAUACCGGAUAGGAGCUCCUGCUGCAUGGUGGGGGUUGGAAAGUUUCGGCGGUUGGGGAUGGACUCGCGGCUUAUCGGCUUGUUGGUGGGGUAGUGGCUUACCAAGGCUUUGACGGGUAGCCGGCCUGAGAGGGUGACCGGCCACAUUGGGACUGAGAUACGGCCCAGACUCCUACGGGAGGCAGCAGUGGGGAAUAUUGCACAAUGGGCGGAAGCCUGAUGCAGCAACGCCGCGUGCGGGAUGACGGCCUUCGGGUUGUAAACCGCUUUCGCCUGUGACGAAGCGUGAGUGACGGUAAUGGGUAAAGAAGCACCGGCUAACUACGUG